AUUGAACGCUGGCGGCAGGCUUAACACAUGCAAGUCGAGCGGGGACUUCGGUCCUAGCGGCGAACGGGUGAGGAAUGCUUGGGAAUCUGCCCAGUAGCGGGGGAUAACGUUUCGAAAGGAACGCUAAUACCGCAUACGCCCUACGGGGGAAAGGGGGGGAUCUUCGGACCUCUCACUAUUGGAUGAGCCCAAGUCGGAUUAGCUAGUUGGUGGGGUAAAGGCCUACCAAGGCGACGAUCCGUAGCUGGUCUGAGAGGAUGAUCAGCCACACUGGAAAUGAGACAAGGUCCAGAAUCCUACGGGAGGCAGCAGUGGGGAAUAUUGGACAAUGGGCGAAAGCCUGAUCCAGCCAUGCCGCGUGUGUGAAGAAGGCCUUCGGGUUGUAAAGCACUUUAAGCGAGGAGGAAUGGCUGAGGGUUAAUAACCUUCAGCAGUGACGUUACUCGCAGAAUAAGCACCGGCUAACUCUGUGCCAGCCGCCGCCGUAACAC
rnacentral:rRNA from 1 species